AUUGAACGCUGGCGGCAGGCCUAACACAUGCAAGUCGAGCGGUAGAGAGGUGCUUGCAUCUCUUGAGAGCGGCGGACGGGUGAGUAAUGCCUAGGAAUCUGCCUAGUGGUGGGGGAUAACGUUCGGAAACGGACGCUAAUACCGCAUACGUCCUACGGGAGAAAGCGGGGGAUCUUCGGACCUCGCGCCAUUAGAUGAGCCUAGGUCGGAUUAGCUAGUUGGUGAGGUAAUGGCUCACCAAGGCGACGAUCCGUAACUGGUCUGAGAGGAUGAUCAGUCACACUGGAACUGAGACACGGUCCAGACUCCUACGGGAGGCAGCAGUGGGGAAUAUUGGACAAUGGGCGAAAGGCCUGAUCCAGCCAUGCCGCGUGUGUGAAGAAGGUCUUCGGAUUGUAAAGCACUUUAAGUUGGGAGGAAGGGUAGUAACCUAAUACGUU
rnacentral:rRNA from 1 species